rnacentral:misc_RNA from 1 species
UUGUUUAAUAAAUUGAGAGCAGUAGAAGUAGAGAUAGAUGCAAUUAAAGAUGGCUUUGAACAUUUGGAACGCUUUAGAAGAAAUGAGGAGGAAUUCUCUGAUACUGAUGAUUGCAGCGAGGCAACGCAUACAGAGAAUGAGCAAAGGACAAUUCAGGCACCUCUGGAUGAUUCAAACCUUCAACAUGCUUUAGCUGAUGAUCGUCUAAGAAGUCUUCUUGAAACAAAGGCUCAACUCAGGGAAGAACUUUCAAUUUUUGCUAAUGAUACUUCAUCUGAUGCAUUGAUAAGAGCUCUUGUUAAGG